AUUUUGUAAAGUUACUUGAUAUAAAGUAGUUGUAGAAAUUUGAAAGUGUGAAUUAUACAAAGAAUACAGGAAUUAUUUUCCAUCGAUAUUCUUAGAUUCAACCUGCUGUACAAGCCUUUCUCGCUAUCUUCUCAACAUCAGUUUUCAGGUAUUCUUCGAUAAAACAAUUGAAGGACGGAUCCCCUAGUGUCUGUUGCUUUAUAGUUAAAACCAGAUAUUUCCAGACAUGAAUACACUAAAUACUAGUAGCUUAAUGUGCUCGAACUCUUCUAAUGAAUCAUGGGUGGUGAACAAAUGCAAUUCAACGAUUAAGAGAA